AUUGAACGCUGGCGGCAUGCCUUACACAUGCAAGUCGAACGGCAGCACGGGAGCAAUCCUGGUGGCGAGUGGCGAACGGGUGAGUAAUAUAUCGGAACGUGCCCAGUCGUGGGGAUAACGUAGCGAAAGCUACGCUAAUACCGCAUACGAUCUAUGGAUGAAAGCGGGGGAUCGCAAGACCUCGCGCGAUUGGAGCGGCCGAUAUCAGAUUAGGUAGUUGGUGAGGUAAAGGCUCACCAAGCCGACGAUCUGUAGCUGGUCUGAGAGGACGACCAGCCACACUGGGACUGAGACACGGCCCAGACUCCUACGGGAGGCAGCAGUGGGGGAAUUUUGGACAAUGGGCGCAAGCCUGAUCCAGCAAUGCCGCGUGCAGGAUGAAGG
rnacentral:rRNA from 1 species